rnacentral:rRNA from 1 species
CUACGGGCCGCUGCAGUGGGGAAUAUUGCACAAUGAGCGAAAGCUUGAUGCAGCCAUACCGCGUGUGUGAAGAAGGCCCGAGGGUUGUAAAGCACUUUCAAUUGGGAGGAAGGUUAAGUAGUUAAUACCUGCUUAAUUUGACGUUACCUUUAGAAGAAGCACCGGCUAACUCUGUGCCAGCAGCCGCGGUAAUACAGAGGGUGCAAGCGGUAUUCGGAAUUACUGGGCGUAAAGCGCGCGUAGGCGGAUUAUUAAGUCAGUUGUGAAAGCCCUGGGCUCAACCUGGGAACUGCAUCUGAUACUGGUAGUAUAGAGUUUAAGAGAGGGAAGUGGUAUUCCAGGUGUAGCAGUGAUAUGCGUAGAUAUCUGGAGGAACAUCAGUGGCGAAGGCGACUUCCUGGCUUAAAACUGACGCUGAGGUGCGAAAGCGUGGGUAGCGAACGGGAUUAGAUACCCCCGUAGUC